CUUGGCGCGAGACUCAGCCGACGUCCUCUCGUUCCCAGGCUCUGCUCCACAUACACAGACGGUCCGGAGGAAAAUCGGGAAAAAGGGGGUAAUUCCUCGGGCUUGUCAAGACAUGACAAUGCUCGCGCAGCAUCCCUGGGGGACAAUGGAGCCGACGACCUCGACUAAGGGAGGAUCCCCUUUAAACCUGGGGACCCCCCUCGGGGAACCUCGGUUUCUGGAGGAGACGAUGAAAGACACGGUACACACGGAUUCGGCCAA